rnacentral:rRNA from 1 species
ACGUACGCUGGCGGCACGCCUAAUACAUGCAAGUCGAACGAAGUAGCAAUACUUAGUGGCAGACGGGUGAGUAACAUGUAGGUAUCUACCCUUUGGCCUGGAAUAACACGAGGAAACUUGUGCUAAUACCGGAUAAGUCUUUACGGAGAAAGCUUUAUGCACCAUUGGAUGAGCCUGCACUUGAUUAGUUUGUUGGUGGGGUAAUGGCCUACCAAGACUGUGAUCAAUAGCUGAUUUGAGAGGAUGAUCAGCCACAUUGGGACUGAGACACGGCCCAAACUCCUACGGGAGGCAGCAGUAGGGAAUCUUGCACAAUGGAGGAAACUCUGAUGCAGCGAUGCCGCGUGAGUGAAGAAGGCCUUUGGGUUGUAAAGCUCUUUCGUCGGGGAAGAAAAUGACUGUACCCGAAUAAGAAGGUCCGGCUAACUUCGUGCCAGCAGCCGCGGUAAUACGAAGGGACCUAGCGUAGUUCGGAAUUACUGGGCUUAAAGAGUUCGUAGGUGGUUGAAAAAGUUAGUGGUGAAAUCCCAGAGCUUAACUCUGGAACUGCCAUUAAAACUUUUCAGCUAGAGUAUGAUAGAGGAAAGCAGAAUUUCUAGUGUAGAGGUGAAAUUCGUAGAUAUUAGAAAGAAUACCAAUUGCGAAGGCAGCUUUCUGGAUCAUUACUGACACUGAGGAACGAAAGCAUGGGUAGCGAAGAGGAUUAGAUACCCUCGUAGUCCAUGCCGUAAACGAUGUGUGUUAGACGUUGGAAAUUUAUUUUCAGUGUCGCAGGGAAACCGAUAAACACACCGCCUGGGGAGUACGACCGCAAGGUUAAAACUCAAAUGAAUUGACGGGGACCCGCACAAGUAGUGGAGCAUGUGGUUUAAUUCGAAGAUACGCGCAGAACCUUACCAACACUUGACAUGUUCGUCGCGACUCUAAGAGAUUAGAGUUUUCGGUUCGGCCGGACGAAACACAGGUGCUGCAUGGCUGUCGUCAGCUCGUGUCGUGAGAUGUUGGGUUAAGUCCCGCAACGAGCGCAACCCUCACUUUUAGUUGCCAUCAUUAAGUUGGGCACUCUGAAAGAACUGCCAGUGAUAAGCUGGAGGAAGGUGGGGAUGACGUCAAGUCCUCAUGGCCCUUACGUGUUGGGCUACACACGUGCUACAAUGGUAUCUACAACAGGAAGCAAGACUGCGAAGUUAAGCAAAUCCCUAAAAGAUACCUCAGUUCGGAUUGCACUCUGCAACUCGAGUGCAUGAAGCUGGAAUUACUAGUAAUCGUGGAUCAGCGUGCCACAGUGAAUGCGUUCCCGGGUCUUGUACUCACCGC